UGAGGUAGAUAGUGACGGUACUCUACACGGAAGUGACGGCUUACUUCGUUCCCGCAACCGCGGUAAAACGUAGGUUACAAGCGUUGUCCGGAAUUUCUGGGUGUAAAGGGGGGGCUGGCGGGAGUACAAGUUGGAAGUGAAAUCCAUGGGCUUAACCCAUGAGCUGCUUUCAGAACUGCUCGUUUUGAGUGAUGGAGAGGCAGGGGGAAUUUCGUGUGUUGGGGUGAAAUGGGUAGAUAUUUGGAAGAACCCCCGUGGGGAAGGCGGCCUGCUGGACAUUAACUGACGGUGAGGCGUGAAAGGGUGGGGAGCCAACCAGAUUAGAUUCCCUGGUUGUUCCCACCGUUAACGAUGGAUACAUAGGUGUUGGAGGUAUUGACCUCUUCGGUGCCGCAGUUAACACAAUAAGUAUCCCACCUGGGGAGUACGGCCUCAAGGGUUGAAAUUCAAAGGAAUUGACGGGGGCCCGCACAAGACAGUGGAGUUUGUGGUCUAAUUAGAAGCAACGGUAAGAACCUUUCCAGGUCUUGACAUCCGGAUGACCAGCUCAGAGUCGAGCAUUUUCUUAGGAACAUCGGUGACAGGUGGUGCAUGGUUGUGGUCAGCUUGUGUCGUGAGAUGUUGGGUUAAGUCCUGCAAGGAGCGCAACCCUUAUGGUCAGUUAUUACGCAAGAGGACUCUGGCCAGCCUUCCAGUUGACAAAACGGAGGAAGGUGGGGAGGAUGUCAAAUCAUCAUACCCGUUUAUGUCUUGGGCUACACAGGUACUACAACGGCGUUAAACAAAGAGAAGCAAGACCGGGAGGAGGAGCAAAACUCAGAAAUAACGUCUCAGUUAGGAAGGCAGGAUGCAAUUAGCCUGCAAGAAGUCGGAAUUGCUAGUAAUGGCAGAUCAGCAUGAGGCGGUGAAUACGUUCCCGGCCCUUGUACACACCGCCCGUCA
rnacentral:rRNA from 1 species